rnacentral:rRNA from 1 species
AUGCCUCCACAAAAGGGGAAAAAAUCUGCGAAACCAAAAUCAGCAAAAGGAGCCUCCACAAAAGGGGAAAAUUGGUCAACUGUUGAGGACUUGGUGUUGAUUCAAGCAUGGGCAAACACUAGUCUGGAUGCGGUGACCGGGACCGAUCAGAAUUCAAGUACAUAUUGGGGUAGGAUUUCAGAUCACUACGACGCUCACAAAAAACCGUCAUGGCCGGAGUGUGGUUCUAAUGGACUCACUUGUCGUUACAACAUUAUUUCAGCGCUCACAAGCAAGUUCUGUGCAUGUAUUCAACAGAUAUUAAAUAGAAAUUGCAGCGGAAUGACUCUCUCUGAUAAGGAAAGAGAUGCACACCGCAUGUACAUUGAACUGGAUGAGAAAAAGAAGCCAUUUACAUUAAUGCAUUGCUACAUAGAGUUUGAGAUGUAUCCAAAGUGGCAGACACGUCCGCUUCCUCAGAAGAAACAAAAGAAGACCUCGGAUGCAAGUCCGGUUACAACCUCCAACGAUGAAGACUUCGGCGCAUGCACUGAUGCUCUUGAAGAAGAGCUAAGACCUCCUGGUACGAAGCAUGACAAGAAUGAACGUUUGAGGAAAGGUAAAACUUCUGAAUCCAAUGAUAGUGGUUGCAAGUUAUCAUUAGAAAGUGUGUGGGCACAGAAGAUAGAGAAGGAUGAUAUCAAAGAGGCCACAAAAAUUGCUCGCUACGCGAGAGCUUUUGAAUUGCAAGAGAAGCAGAUUGCAUUGCAAGAGAAGGAGGAUGCACGGAAACAGUUUGAAUUAGAUGAGAAAAUCAUGCUCAUGGACACAUCUCAUAUGAGUGAUGCACAUAAGCAAUUCUACAAGAAUAAACAAGAUGAGAUCAUUGCUCGCUGCCAGAACACAUCUGGUUAA